CGGCUAUGAUGAGGCAUAGAGAUAGUCAUGCACCACUCUGAUUUUCGUGCUGAGAAUUUUCUCAAACCCAUUUUCUGAGCCC
rfam:Lupinus angustifolius cultivar Tanjil contig_11752, whole genome shotgun sequence.